rnacentral:rRNA from 1 species
UACGUAGGGUGCAAGCGUUAAUCGGAAUUACUGGGCGUAAAGCGUGCGCAGGCGGUUUUGUAAGUCUGUCGUGAAAUCCCCGGGCUCAACCUGGGAAUGGCGAUGGAGACUGCAAGGCUAGAGUUUGGCAGAGGGGGGUAGAAUUCCACGUGUAGCAGUGAAAUGCGUAGAUAUGUGGAGGAACACCGAUGGCGAAGGCAGCCCCCUGGGUCAAAAACUGACGCUCAUGCACGAAAGCGUGGGGAGCAAACAGG